rnacentral:rRNA from 1 species
GAUGAACGCUAGCGGCAGGCUUAAUACAUGCAAGUCAAGGGGUCAGCAAUGGCACCGGCGGACGGGUGAGUAACGCGUACACAACGUACCUUUAACUGGGGGAUAGCAUCUGGAAACGGGUGGUAAUACCGCAUGUGGUUGCGAGGAGGCAUCUCUUUGUAACUAAAACUUAGGUGGUUAGAGAUCGGUGUGCGUCUGAUUAGCUAGUUGGUAGGGUAGAGGCCUACCAAGGCGACGAUCAGUAGGGGGCGUGAGAGCGUGAACCCCCACACGGGUACUGAGACACGGACCCGACUCCCACGGGAGGCAGCAGUAAGGAAUAUUGGUCAAUGGAGGGAACUCUGAACCAGCCAUGCCGCGUGAAGGAAGACGGCCUUAUGGGUUGUAAACUUCUUUACUAUGCGACUAACUAGAUUUACGAGAUAAUUCUAUAGAAUGUAGCAUAGCAAAAGCACCGGCUAACUCCGUGCCAGCAGCCGCGGUAAGGAGUAGUACA